rnacentral:rRNA from 1 species
UACGUAGGGUGCAAGCGUUAUCCGGAAUUAUUGGGCGUAAAGAGCUCGUAGGCGGUCUGUUGCGUCUGCUGUGAAAACUCGGGGCUUAACCCCGAGCCUGCAGUGGAUACGGGCAGACUAGAGGUAGGUAGGGGAGAAUGGAAUUCCUGGUGUAGCGGUGAAAUGCGCAGAUAUCAGGAGGAACACCGGUGGCGAAGGCGGGUCUCUGGGCCGAUACUGACGCUGAGGAGCGAAAGCGUGGGGAGCGAACAGG